ACCGCCUCUUCCAGAAGUAAUUAUUAUUAUACUCAAAUCUUUUCCCUAAUUCUUGUCUGCCUUAUAGAAGCUUGGUUUCAAAGCUAGGGUUUGAGGCUUAAAAUCUUCUGGUUAUAGUUUGAUGCAGCCUUGCUGCUAAUCAUGGCAGUCGGGGAGAACAAGCGCAUCUAAAAGGGCAAGAAGGGAGGAAAGAAGAAAGCCUGAGUAGUUAGAUGUAAUUUUUCCCUUUUCCUCCUUUUGAAAGGAAUUGCAAUAGACACAUGAGGAGUUAAUGGCGUGAUGGCAUUAUAUAGGGUCGAUCCAUUUACGAAGAAGGAUUGGUAUGACAUAAAGGCUCCAUCUUCCUUCAACACGAGGACCAUGGGGAAGACGCUCGUUACCAGAAAGCAGGGAACCAAGUUAGCACAUGACAUCUUUUCAUUCAUUACAAAUUUAACACUUCCAAAAUAUUUGUAGUUACCGUGCCAUCUAGUUUUUCUGCAAAUGUAUAUUUAUUAGCUUUUGUGAAAAUAUUUAAAAGAAAAACCUUGUCUAUCCGAUUUCGGUUUUCUUUCGUCUUUA